rnacentral:rRNA from 1 species
UUUAUUGCGAAAAGGGUUUGGAGAGUUGAGUAAGUGUGGGUUGUUAAAUUUUAACUUCUCUUUUAUACGCUUACGUAUACUUUUAUACACUUGCCUAUGCUAUAGAAAUAUGGUAAUAUGGUAAAUAAUUUCUAUUAUGAGUAGAUUUCUAUUUUGAGAGUUAUUAAAGGGUAUAUAGAAGUAUAGAAUUCGUCGGAUAAGCCCGUUCUCUAAGGUGGAAACACUGUAUUAAAACAGCAUACACCAAAACUCAAUGAACUAAAAGAUUUUAUUAAUUGAAGGAAAAGAAACCAACCGGGAUUGCGCUAGUAGUACAGAGCGAAGGCGCAAAAGCUAAAUUAGAUAUUUUUUGUUUGCAGUUGAACUUAAGUGGAAUCCGGACCAGAGAAAGUGACAGUCUUGUAGAUUGUAAACAAAAUGUGCUGUAAUUAUUUAUUAGUUAUUAAUAUGUCUUAGAAAUGGGAGUCUGUAGUAUAAUAAUGCAAUUAUUAAUUAUUAAUAAUUAAUGAAGCCUAAUAUAAAAAAUUAGUGGUUUAACACUGCUAGUGAUUGACGGAAACCACUCCGUUGGCUAAAUAUUUUAUGUAGAUCGAUAGUGAAUCAGUACUGUAAAGGAAUUUGGAAACAAGAAUGCCAUUGCUUCUCUGAAUACAAGUCCCAAAACAGGUUGCUUAUAAUGACUUUCAGUUUGGCUCUUAUAGUGUUAAAUAGAAAGGUUCCUUUUGAAUCAUGAGCUGAUGACUUUGUGUUAGUUAAAGGCAUAUAUUAAUUGUAAAACAAAAGAACUUUGAAUUAUACAAUUAGUAUAAGUAGCUUAAUUUAUUAAAAGUAAGCUUAUUAUGAAAAUACUUCAUAGAAAACUGACACAAAACGCGAAACGAAGUGAGCUUAAGUAGGCCAGGGGGAAGGUUACCGGAAGGUAGUUGGACGCCCGAAGUGGUAUGCGUUGCAACGCGUUCAUAUGAGCUUAUUUAAGUGGCGAAAUACCAAUCGAACUUCGAAAUAUCUCGUUUUUUGCGAAACCUUUUUAGGAAGGGGGCCUGCAAAAGAUAUGCUAACUAGGUAGAGCGCUGUAAAACUGAUGGGGAGGAAACUUUUACUGAGGUGUUGCAAACCAUAAAUUAGGGGCAUUUUAUCAGGUACUCAGUCAGUGCGGGACAAGCUGCAUUUGACAAGAAGGAAACAGCCUAGACUAUAAAUUAAGGCCCGAAAAUUGCGCUAAGUGAGAAAGUAAUUAACUUCACAAAAAUUAGUAGGACGUUUGAUUAGUAGCAUCUACCGUUUAAAGAAAGCGUAAUAGCUCACUACUAUAGUUUAGUUGUUACGAAAAUUUAGCCGGACUAAGCGCUAUGCCGAAAUUAUAGCUAACUAGACUUUACUACAAUCUUACUUUUGUCUUUGCUAUUGCAACGCCAAAAGCAAAGGACACAGCUUAACCCUUUUGCGGUAAAGCAAAGUAAAGUGAGUUAGAGUAGCAAAACGAACCAUGUUGACAAAGUUACGUCGGUAAGACUUAAUGAAAAUAUUGGUUGUGAAUAUAUCAGCUAGAGUAACAUAUAAAUUGAGUUUAAAUGAAGUGUUUCUAAAGUGUUUAAUCUCUUUAUUAGCCCUUAUUUUCUUUAUUGAAAUAAAAGCAUAGUAUCUCAAUGAUCGGAAAUCCUAGGUUUUCUACACAACUAUUAAAGAUGUAGUUAAAAAAACGGUCCCUAAGUGAUAUGAAGGUUACAAUGGGUGCCUGCUAUGCCCAACAAAAUCUUAUGAAAUUUGUAGAUCUGUUGCAGGAAAAAAUAGCAGGAGAUUAAAUCUUUGAUCAAAGAUAAUGAAUAAAUACCGUACUAAAACUGACUCUGGUGGAUUAGUAGAUUUUACUAAGAUUUGGUUAUAAUCGUUCGUAAGGAACUCGGCAAAUUGCGCUGGUACUUUCGAAAACAGCGGUCUAAAGUAGCCCUUUAGAUCUCAGAUAAGAGAACUGGGUGACAGUUUACUAAAAACUUAGCGUCCUGCCAAUUUGAAACAAGACGUAUAGGAUGUGACGUUUGCUAACGGCCACUAAUUUAAGUGAUUUGUUGUAACAGAUAAAUAAACAAGAUGUGGUGACGAGCGGCCGUAACUAUAACGGUCAUAAAGUAGCGAAAUUCCUAGGCAUUUAAUUGGUGUCCUGCAUGAAUAACGUAACAACCUGGUUGCUGUCUCGCGAGCGAAAACCGUGAAAUAAGAAUAUCGGUCAAAAUACCGAUUAGGCUGUCUUAGACGAUAAGACCCUGUUGAGCUUUACUGCAACCUAACAUUGCGAUCGGUUUUUUAUCUUACAGUUAGGCGGGAGGCCCUCGGGUCAACAAUGGAAAACCGCUAGAUAAUAGAUAGAUCGCUUUAUAUAAGAGUACUUUUUAAUCCAAAAACGUCUCUAUAUAAGACUUUAAUUUUAGUCGUAGGUACGGCUUUAAGUAAAAGGAUGAGUUCUUAUAUAGAAGACUUGAAUUAACAAAGCGCGAAGACAGUGUUUGGUGGGCAGUUUACUUGGGGCGAGGUCUGGCUAAAAAGUAACGCCAGAGAGCAGAAGGUAUGCUCAGUAUUGUCGGAAACAAUAUAUAGAGCGUAAUAGUAUAAGCAUGCCUGAUUAUAAGACUGACAAGUCGAAUAAGGACGAAAGUCUGCUAUAGUGACCCUCACAUGCUAGGUGGAAAGGUGUGAGAUCAACGAAUCAAAGUUACCACAGGGAUAACAGGGUAGUCCUGGCUUAUAGUCCUUAUAGACGCCAGGGUUCGCCACCUCGAUGUUGUUUCAGGUCAUCCUGGAGCUGAACAAGGUUCCAAGGGCGCAACUGUUCUUUGCAUAAUGACCUACGUGAAAUGAGUUUAAACCGCCGUAAGGCAGGUUUGGUUCUAUCUAGACAGCCAUAAUAUUUAACCGAGCAUUAGAAUUCCACUGUACGAAAGGACCCGGAAUUCCACGCCAAUGGUUUAGCAAUUGUUUUGAAAAAAGCAUUGUUGCAACGCUAAGCGUGAAAUGUUAAUUGCUGAAAAACUAUCAAGCAAGAAACAAUUGUAAAGGUUAUAGUAGAUCGCAUUUGCGUAAAUAGGCAGGGGGUGUAAGUGUUGUAAGACAUUGAGCUACCCUGUACUAAUUAUUU